rnacentral:rRNA from 1 species
GGCGGACGGGUGAGUAACACGUGGGAUUCUGCCCAUUAGUGGGGGAUAACUUCGGGGAAACUCGAGCUAAUACCGCAUAAUCCCUACGGGGAAAGCUGGGGAUCUUCGGACCUUGCGCUGAUGGAUGAGCCCGCGUCGGAUUAGCUUGUUGGUGGGGUAAUGGCCCACCAAGGCCGACGAUCCGUAACUGGUGUGAGAGGAUGGCCAGUCACACCGGGACUGAGACACGAGCCCGGACUCCUAAGGGAGGCAGCAGUGGGGAAUCUUGGCAAUGGGCGCAAGCCUGAUCCAGCCAUGCCGCGUGUGUGAAGAAGGCCUUCGGGUUGUAAAGCACUUUCAGUAGGCAGGAAGGCUUCGGGUUAAUACCCUGGAGUACUUGGUUACCUACAGAAGAAGCACCGGUAAUUUCGUGCCAGCUCAGCCGCGGUAAUACGAAAGGUGCGAGCGUUAAUCGGAAUUACUGGGCGUAAAGCGCGCGUAGGCGGUGUGUUAAGUCGGAUGUGAAAGCCCAGGGCUCAACCUUAGAAUUGCAUCCGAUACAUGGCACGCUAGAGUGCAGUAGAGGGAGGUGGAAUUUCCGGUGUAUGCGGUGAAAUGCGUAGAGAUCGGAAGGAACACCACGUGGCGAAGGCGGCCUC